rnacentral:snoRNA from 1 species
UAGACUAAUGGUGGGAAAUAUGUUAUUAGCCAAGGGUUAUGAUUAAUUCAGUUCUGUAAACCUGAGGUCCAAA